rnacentral:rRNA from 1 species
GAAUUCGCCCUUAGAGUUUGAUCCUGGCUCAGGACGAACGCUGGCGGCGCGCCUAACACAUGCAAGUCGAACGAGCGAGAGAGAGCUUGCUUUCUCGAGCGAGUGGCGAACGGGUGAGUAACGCGUGAGGAACCUGCCUCAAAGAGGGGGACAACAGUUGGAAACGACUGCUAAUACCGCAUAAGCCCACGACCCGGCAUCGGGAAGAGGGAAAAGGAGCAAUCCGCUUUGAGAUGGCCUCGCGUCCGAUUAGCUAGUUGGUGAGGUAACGGCCCACCAAGGCAACGAUCGGUAGCCGGACUGAGAGGAUGAACGGCCACAUUGGAACUGAGACACGGUCCAAACUCCUACGUGAGGCAGCAGUGGGGAAUAUUGCACAAUGGGGGAAACCCUGAUGCAGCAACGCCGCGUGAGUGAAGAAGUAUUUCGGUAUGUAAAGCUCUAUCAGCAGGGAAGAUAAUGACGGUACCUGACUAAGAAGCUCCGGCUAAAUACGUGCCAGCAGCCGCGGUAAUACGUAUGGAGCAAGCGUUAUCCGGAUUUACUGGGUGUAAAGGGUGCGUAGGUGGCAGUGCAAGUCAGAUGUGAAAGGCCGGGGCUCAACCCCGGAGCUGCAUUUGAAACUGCAUAGCUAGAGUACAGGAGAGGCAGGCGGAAUUCCUAGUGUAGCGGUGAAAUGCGUAGAUAUUAGGAGGAACACCAGUGGCGAAGGCGGCCUGCUGGACUGUUACUGACACUGAGGCUCGAAAGCGUGGGGAGCAAACAGGAUUAGAUACCCUGGUAGUCCACGCCGUAAACGAUG